GAACGAGGCCACUCCUUCGGGAGUGAGUCGAGUGGCGGACGGGUGAGUAACACGUGAGCAAUCUACCCUUGUGCGGGGGAUAACCCGGGGAAACCCGGGCUAAUACCGCAUGGUUAAGAGAUUCGAAGAGUCUUUUAGGAAACGUGGCCUCUUUACAAUGCUACGGCGCAGGGAGGAGCUCGCGGGCUAUCAGCUAGUUGGUGAGGUAACGGCUCACCAAGGCUUCGACGGCUACGGGGUCUGAGAGGACGACCCCGCACAUUGGAACUGAGACACGGUCCAGACUCCUACGGGAGGCAGCAGUGGGGAAUAUUGGGCAAUGGCCGAAAGGCUGACCCAGCGACGCCGCGUGUGGGAGGAAGCCCUUCGGGGUGUAAACCACUGUCAGAGGGGACGAAUGAAUCGCGGGUGAAUAAUCCGCGGAAGUGACGGUACCCUCAAAGGAAGCACCGGCUAACUCUGUGCCAGCAGCCGCGGUAAUACAGAGGGUGCAAGCGUUGUUCGGAAUUACUGGGCGUAAAGCGCGCGCAGGCGGAUCCUGCAAGUCCGAAGUGAAAUCUCACUGCUCAACGGUGAGGCUGCUUUGGAUACUGCGGAUCUGGAGACCGGUAGAGGCUGGUAGAAUUGCAGGUGUAGCGGUGGAAUGCGUAGAGAUCUGCAAGAAUACCCGUGGCGAAGGCGGCCAGCUGGGCCGGUUCUGACGCUGAGGCGCGAAAGCGUGGGGAGCAAACAGGAUUAGAUACCCUGGUAGUCCACGCCGUAAACGAUGGGCACUAGGUGCUGGGGGGGAGCGACCCCGUCAGUGCCGCAGCUAACGCGAUAAGUG
rnacentral:rRNA from 1 species